GUGCCAGCAGCCGCGGUAAGACGAACCGAGCGAACGUUAUUCGGAAUCACUGGGCUUAAAGGGCGCGUAGGCGGGCCGUCAAGUCGAGGGUGAAAUCCCCCAGCUCAACUGGGGAAGUGCCUCCGAUACUGGCGGCCUCGAGGGGGAUAGGGGCAUGCGGAACUUCCGGUGGAGCGGUGAAAUGCGUAGAUAUCGGAAGGAACGCCGGUGGCGAAAGCGACGUGCUGGCCCUCUUCUGACGCUGAGGCGCGAAAGCCAGGGGAGCAAACGGGAUUAGAUACCCCAGUAGUCC
rnacentral:rRNA from 1 species